GUUCACAGUAGAAAAAUUCUUGGGACGUUGCCCAGCAGACACGAUGUAUGUUAAAUAGGAAUCAUUUACAAUGUAGACUGGCUUUUUGGGUGGGGUUGUCUUAGCAACAGAGUACUUGCAUUUAGAACCUCUCCAGACCUCAGUAUUGCUAAGAGGAACAAAGUCAAUGCUGGGGAUAGUUGACAGAGCAAACACAGGGCCCAAAUGAUGUAACACAGAGAGAGACCACUAGCUAUCAGACCCGGGCAAGGGCCAAGACUGUCACAUCCUGAGUGGGCCUGAGUGAAUACGUCCCACCUUCCUGGACCGUUGCGAAUCCCAGAGACAACUUCCAGCAUGGCGUAUCUGUGUAAGCUUACAGUGACACAAUAGUGGCUGGAACAAUGGACUCUGUACCAGGUCACGAAUGCUGUUAGCCAGGAAGGCACAAGCUGGUAAAGGACUUUCGAAGUGAGUGUGGCGCCUGAGCAGGUGUGGCUGCCCAUAGAUGUGUACCUGAGCUCUUCCUUGCUGGGAAUUUACUCUCUAACUGACUAGAAAGAUCUGCCGUCAGGCGCUUAGCUGGGCACCCAUGGGUUUCCUCAGCACCAACAAGCCUGCCGUUACCUAGGCGUUCCAUAGUAGCUUUCUAGUCCUGCCUGGGGGUCACCUUGAGAGUGCUGGAUCACACUGCCACCGCCACUGCCAACACCGCCACCAUCUGAGCUGCUAGAGCCACAGAGGCUCCAUAUUCCAGUCUGCUCAUCCUGGGACCCUUUGCAGAUGAAGGAUGGAGGUUCUCUCUGUCCUCACAGCCCAUUUCCUCACUGUCACUCUUGCCAUACCCCCCGUCACUCAACAUUAGUGUCUCCGAAACACAGAGGAAAGAGGGUGUUGAUCAGACUCAACUGCUUUACUAAGACUCCAUUUUCCUCGUUACCCAGUACUAAUAAAUAUGUCUCUCUUUUGUUUGGACAUCUUUAACAGAACAAGAAAAUGAGAGACUGUCAAUGCCAAGUACAAUCCAAGUCUUCUAACAUUUCACCCACAAAGGCGCCCAUCAGUAAAUGGCCUGUAUUGCUCUAUGAACUGAGGGUGCAUUCUGGGUGGCCUUCACUAUUAUGGUCUAGGAGAUGUUGACACCAUGGAUCUCAUUCAGAAACUUGGUGUUGCUAUAUUUUGUGAGCCAAGUUUAGCAACCAGGAACAUGAACUGUUUCCCAAUAAUCCCACUAGGGCCGUUUUCUCUUUGACCAGUCUGGAUUGGAGGUGAGCAGGAGCCCUGCAUCUUUGAGUGUUUCCCCACCAUUUCUGGGCUCGACCUUCCCAUAGACUCUGCUCAGAGGAAGAAGCCAUGGCAGAGACCUGCUUGGUAGAUUCAUAACAACAUUGUCACUGGAGCUCCUGGGAACACGUCUUCCAUAUUUUCUGGAGUAGAUCUGGCCUCCAGCGGGGACAACAGGCCUUAGCCAGAACAGGCAGGCAGCAACAAGUACAGAAUGAGACUUCUUACACAAGCAACCAUGAGGCUUGGCCUGUAGAGAAGCAGAGGCUCAUGGGAAUUUACUGCUUGGCUCUGCUCUUAGGAGCCAUCCAUCACAAUGGAGUGCCUCAGAAGAAAAUCCAAUUUUUUUUCACUCCUUCGAGGGUGUCUGCUCUUUCUGAUGGAAUUAAAUUGGACAAUGGUGGUCAUGAGUGGCAUAAGACUACUACAUACCAUUUCCAAUGGGCUUGAGACUGACCAUGUCUGUGUCCCUGCCAUUGGCCACAGAUGCUACCUUCUUUUCACAUGGCACACAAAAGGCUCACACAACCUUACCCAUGUGACAUCUAGCACUACACUGAAGCCAAGAUAUCCAGAAAGCUUUCCAUAAAAGAUUAUGACUUCAGCAGUGGAAUUAACCCCAGGGAGAUGAGUCUGUGAGGAACCAAAGGUCACAUUUCCAUACAAAUGUCUCCAGAGAACAAACAAAACAGCUAAGGAAAAGGCUGCCUCUGGAUACACAAUGUUUUCUAAAGCCUUCAGGAGGUUCAGAGCACGCCCUUCAGCUCUUGGGAAAGUGUAGCCACUCAAAAGGAGAUCUUUCAACUUCUAAGCACAAAUUCUCCAUGGUCAUCUCUUCCACAGAAUUUGCUUUCACGCCCCCAGUUCAGUGUCAGUGACCUUGUGUAACACCACCCAGGACCUUGUGUGUUGUUUGAUGCCUAAAGCUAUCUUCUUGCUCCAUUUCCAGCCCUUGAGGAGUCUGCUGGUCUUGAGAACUCCCAUCCUUAUUCCAUAACGGCAGAGAUAUUCCAUAGGAUACUAAAGAUGACCAGGCAGUUUAGUGGAGUAAAAGAAAUGGACAUCACACUGUAACACUAAGGGCAAGCACAGUGGUGUCUAAGCACUGUCCAGCCUCCACGUCAGGUGCUGGAUAUGUGCGGAAACAUGUUUUCCAAACUCACUCUUUCCAUGCCUGGGAAGCAAGAGAAAAUACUAACAGUGGUGGAACUGCCUGCUGAAGUGUGACCUCCAUGGACACAGCCUUGUGUGGAAGUCGGGACUUCAGAUACAGCCUUGUGUGGAAGUCGGGACUUCAGAUACAACCGGGUUAGUGUGAAAUGACACACUGAAGGGGGUCUCCCGUCCAGGAAGUGGUGUCUUUACAAGGGAAGAGUGAUCUGCAGACACCGGAGACAGAGGUUGGGGUGAUUCUGUAAGGGCCCGGGAUGGGGAUGAUGAUGGAACCUUUGGAGGACACGGUCCUGCAUGCCACGCCUCCAGAAAUGACAGACACCAUCCAUGUUGGGUGCUUUGUAAGGCAGCCCAGGAAACGAAUACAGCUGGCAUUUGGUUGUGGUUUUUUUUCCUGGCUGGAUCUAUGCCCCCCCCCACCCUCUAGGCCCUCUGAGCAUGAACACUGUGCUUGCUGUGCCUAGAGGAAGUGAAGUGUCCAGAGGACAGCGCAGUGUCUGGAAAACUCUUCCCAGCUCCACUUAGACCGCCUUUCCCACAGCCACUGGUCCUCCUCUCACAAAGCUCAAUUAGAAGCUCUGAGAAGGACUUGGCCCCUGUUUCUCGUGCCUGAAGCUGGCAAUUACAUAAUGAGUGUUGAAAGAAGGCUGCCACAACAACAAGAAAAUGUUCUUGGGUGCCCUGUUUACACACUGGCUAGCCACAGGGGACGAGCUCCCUCUCCCUUCACUUCACCACCCCCCUCCCUACUGGGUGAGCCACUGAGGACAAGGGCGCUGUGGGGACAUUCUCACAAAGCGAUGUCCCGUUCCAUCCGGACACGGGAUAGAGACUGCUUCUGUGUGGGGAGCUGGCAGGAAGGAGGAGCCCUGACAAAGGGUGCGGAACCCUGCCUGUGGUGUGCACAGUUAGCCUGGCAUUCUUUCCAAGCACGCCUUCGAUGUCAGCAUCGCACCAAGGGCUGGGGAGUCUGAUGGAUGACGCGGACAAAAGUCCUGCCCCCGCAAAGUUGACUGUUGGCUGGAAGACACAGAGGCAAGCGCUCUGGGGUGGACAGGUACUGUUGAGCAUCGGGAAGCCAUCCAAGCCAGAUGGAAGGUAGGCUUCCUAGGGAAGGGGCAACCAGCGCACAGUGAAGAGAUCUGCUCGUGGAGGGCGUGGACGGACGGGCAUAAACAAGACAAAGAGCUAAAAGCAAGCCUAGGGACGACCAGCGCGGAGUGCAGCUCUGCGCUCUGGCCCACUACCUGACUAGCCAGCAUUCCACUUGCUGCCCGCACGCUUGGCCGAAGGCUGUUCCCCACCACCCACACCGAGCUGGUCAUACUAACACAGUUAUGUAUGCCCCAAAUCUGUACUACAAAAUAAAGACUACAAAAAUAAA